CCUACGGGGGGCUGCAGUGGGGAAUAUUGGACAAUGGGGGGGACCCUGAUCCAGCCAUGCCGCGUGUGUGAAGAAGGCCCUCGGGUUGUAAAGCACUUUCAGUGAGGAAGAACGCCUGGUGGUUAAUACCCAUCAGGAAAGACAUCACUCACAGAAGAAGCACCGGCUAACUCCGUGCCAGCAGCCGCGGUAAUACGGAGGGUGCGAGCGUUAAUCGGAAUUACUGGGCGUAAAGCGCGCGUAGGUGGCUUGAUAAGCCGGUUGUGAAAGCCCCGGGCUCAACCUGGGAACGGCAUCCGGAACUGUCAAGCUAGAGUGCAGGAGAGGAAGGUAGAAUUCCCGGUGUAGCGGUGAAAUGCGUAGAGAUCGGGAGGAAUACCAGUGGCGAAGGCGGCCUUCUGGACUGACACUGACACUGAGGUGCGAAAGCGUGGGUAGCAAACAGGAUUAGAUACCCCAGUAGUC
rnacentral:rRNA from 1 species